AGGAAAUCCUGAAGUGGAUCCUCUUCUUUAUUAUAUAGUUGGAGGCCCUGGUUGUGCUGCUUUGAAUGGUUUCCUCUUUCAAACUGGUCCACUACAGUUUGAUGAAACUGAUUACACUGGAGGUUUGCCAACGUUGCAUUUAUACCCACACACAUGGACCAAGAGUGCGAGUAUAAUAUUUGUAGAUGCACCAAUUGGCUCUGGUUACUCCUAUUCAACAAACCCAGCAGAUUACGAGAUCUCAGACUUACAGUCAGCAAAUCAAUCUUA